UACGUAGGGUGCAAGCGUUGUCCGGAAUUAUUGGGCGUAAAGAGCUCGUAGGCGGUUUGUCGCGUCUGCUGUGAAAGUCCGAGGCUCAACCUCGGACUUGCAGUGGGUACGGGCAGGCUAGAGUUCGGUAGGGGAGACUGGAAUUCCUGGUGUAGCGGUGAAAUGCGCAGAUAUCAGGAGGAACACCGAUGGCGAAGGCAGGUCUCUGGGCCGAUACUGACGCUGAGGAGCGAAAGCGUGGGGAGCGAACAGG
rnacentral:rRNA from 1 species